rnacentral:misc_RNA from 1 species
CAUUGUCGAAACCUGCAAAUGACCCGCGAACUAGUUAUCAACAUGUUGGGAGAGAUGGGAGAAAUCCCAUUAGCUUCUUCGUGCCAGUGGUGGGUAAUUGUGUCGUUAUAAUGGCGGCRUGAUUAUUCAACACUCGGACAAACUAACCAACCCCGGCGCGGUAUGCGCCAAGGAACUUUGCAUUAAAUGUGGUCAUGCCCACGAUCGUUCCGUAAAACGGAAGAAGCGAACGUGAUCUUGGCCACUUUUUCAUUACACAAAACGACUCUCGGCAACGGAUAUCUAGGCUCUUGCAUCGAUGAAGAACGUAGCGAAAUGCGAUACUUGGUGUGAAUUGCAGAAUCCCGUGAACCAUCGAGUCUUUGAACGCAAGUUGCGCCCGAAGCCUCCUGGCCAAGGGCACGUCUGCCUGGGUGUCACACAACAUCCCCACCGAACCAAAUAACUCAUUGUCGUUGUUUGUUAAGAGGAUGGGCGGAAAAUGGUCUCCCGUGCGCAUUUGCUCGCGGUUGGCCAAAAAAUAAAUUCCUGGUGAUUGCAAGCCAUGACCAGCGGUGGUUGAAAGACCCUCGAUGGGUGUCGUGAGAGCUUGCAUCGCAUGUUGGGAGACUCUGACCCUGAACGUGUUUGUUUUGUCAAACACUUUUCAAGUGACCCCAGGUCAGGCGGGACUACCCGCUGAGUUUAAGCAUAU